GCCGGGCGAGGUGGCUCACGCCUGUAAUCCUAGCCCUCUGGGAGGCCGAGGCUGGUGGAUUGCUCGAGGUCAGGAGUUCAAGACCAGCCUGAGCAACAGCGAGACCCCGUCUCUACUAAAAAUAGAAAGAAAUUAUAUGGCCAACUAAAAAUCUAUAUAGAAAAAAUUAGCCGGGCACAGUGGCGCAUGCCUGUAGUCCCAGCUACUCAGGAGGCUGAGGCAGGAGGAUUGCUUGAGCCCAGGAGUUUGAGGUUGCUGUGAGCUAGGCUGAUGCCACGGCACUCUAGCCUGGGCAACAGAGUGAGACUCUGUCUCA
rnacentral:sRNA from 1 species